AUUGAACGCUGGCGGCAUGCCUUACAUAUGCAAGUCGAGCGGCAGCGCGGGGGCAACCCUGGCGGCGAGCGGCGAACGGGUGAGUAAUACAUCGGAACGUGUCCUUUCGUGGGGGAUAACCAGUCGAAAGACUGGCUAAUACCGCAUGAGAUCUCACGAUGAAAGCGAGGGACCGCAAGGCCUCGCGCGAUUGGAGCGGCCGAUGUCGGAUUAGCUAGUUGGCGGGGUAAUGGCCCACCAAGGCGACGAUCCGUAGCUGGUUUGAGAGAACGACCAGCCACACUGGGACGGAGACACGGCCCAGACUCCUACGGGAGGCAGCAGUGGGGAAUUUUGGACAAUGGGCGCAAGCCUGAUCCAGCCAUGCCGCGUGUGUGAAGAAGGCCUUCGGGUUGUAAAGCACUUUCGGCCGGAACGAAAUCGCGCGGGUUAACAGCCCGCGUGGAUGACGGUACCGGAAGAAGAAGCACCGGCUAACUACGUGCCAGCAGCCGCGGUAAUAC
rnacentral:rRNA from 1 species